GCAUUGCAACUCCAGUUCCCAUAUGAUCACCAAAAUUAAGCAUUAUUGAGCCUGGUCAGUACUUAGUUGGGUAACUACUUGGAUAUGCCAGGUGCUGUAA